GACCAACUGGCGCAAUGGUAGCGUGUCCGCCUACGACCAGUAGGACACAAUAGCGGGAGGUUGCAGGUUCGAGCCCUGCGUUGGUCA